UUGUUGGUGAGGUAACGGCUCACCAAGGCGACGACGGGUACCAGGCGUGAGAGCGUGGCCUGGCACAUCGGGACUGAGACACUGCCCGGACAUCUACGGAUGGCUGCAGCAACGAAUAUUCCGCAAUGGACGAAAGUCUGACGGAGCGACGCCGCGUGCAGGAGGAAGCGCUUCGGCGUGUAAACUGCUGUCAGGGGUUAGGAAGCAAGUGACCAACCCCAAAGGAAGCCUCGGCUAACUCCGUGCCAGCAGCCGCGGUAAUACGGAGGGGGCAAGCGUUGUUCGGAAUCAUUGGGCUUAAAGCGUGUGUAGGCGGAAUGGAAGGCGCCUUGUGAAAUCCCUCGGCUCAACCGAGGAACUGCUUGGCGAACCGCCAUUCUUGAGGCCAGCAGGGGUACCUGGAACUAUGGGUGGAGCGGUGAAAUGCGUAGAUAUCCAUGGGAACGCCGGAGGCGAAAGCGGGGUACUGGGCUGGUUCUGACGCUGAGACACGAAAGCGUGGGGAGCAAACAGGAUUAGAUACCCUGGUAGUCCACGCCGUAAACGAUGCGCACUAGGUAUCAGGACUUCUGACGGUCUUGGUGCCGUAGCAAAAGCGAUAAGUGCGCCGCCUGGGGAGUACGGCCGCAAGGCUAAAACUCAAAGGAAUUGACGGGGGCUCACACAAGCGGUGGAGCAUGUGGAUUAAUUCGAAACAACGCGCAGAACCCUACCUGGGUUUGACAUGCACGGAUGCACCGGUGAAAGUCGGCUAUGCUACCCUUCGGGGUGAAACGUGCACAGGUGCUGCAUGGCUGUCGUCAGCUCGUGCUGUGAAGUGUCGGGUUAAGUCCCUUAACGAGCGGAACCCUUGUCGCUAGUUACCAGCGGGUCAUGCCGGGGACUCUAGCGAGACUGCCGGCGACAAGCCGGAGGAAGGUGGGGACGACGUCAAGUCAUCAUGGCCUUUAUGCCCAGGGUGUCACACGUGCUACAAUGGUGGAGACAGAGCGACGCGAACCCGUGAGGCAGAGCAAAUCGCAGAAACUCCAUCUCAGUUCGGAUUGCAGGCUGCAAUUCGCCUGCAUGAAGUUGGAAUCGCUAGUAAUCGCGUAUCAGCCAUGACGCGGUGAAUGAGUUCCUGAGCCUUGUACACACCGCCCGUCAAGUCAUGGAAGCUGGUAGUACCCGAAGUCCGUUUAGCUAACCUCGUGAGGCGGCGGCCGACGGUAAUACCGGUGACUGGGACUAAGUCGUAACAAGGUA
rnacentral:rRNA from 1 species